GUCAGGUCUGUGGAUGGGGUGAGGUCACCAGGAUGAGGUCACAAAGGCAUUGAUGCCCCUUUGUCCUAUCAUGUGACCACUUGUCACACUUCCAUCAAACAGUACCUGCCCCUUAGGUGUGCUAGGGAAUAAAUGAAAUGCCUGGGACAUCAUCGUUAAGUGGCAUCUGAUGCAUAAGCAGUGCCCUAGGAAUGGGGUUGCCUGCCUUGGUCUCUAAAGGAUGGGUUCAAAAGGCAAGAGCAGCACACAAGAAGAUAGCUUCAAGCAGGAGAUAAAGCUUGGCCCAGGGCCCAAAGGGGAUACGACCCUUCAGCAAACUGACAUGCUGAAAGCUGCCCUAUGGAGAGGCUCAUGUGGCAAGGAACAGAGGGUGGCUUCUGGCCAACACCCAGUGAGGAACUCAGGCCCUCAGUCAAACAGCCUGCAAGGAACUGAACCCUGCCAAUAACCAGGCAGUGUCAGCCCCCGGCCAAUGACCACCAUGGACCUCCCUGUAGUUGAACAAAGUUGGGUUUGCUGACUGGUGGCAGUGAGGGAGAAUGCACACCACAGGGAGCUGUGCAGUGUCUCAGUAAGAAGCCAGGAGCCAUCCCGUGAGGCCGUUACUGCAAACAAGCUGAAAAUCCUGCUUUGUUUCUUUUGGACACAACAUGCUUUCCUUCAGCUUCAGUAGACGAUGAGGCCAGCACCACAUGGGCUAGAUGUACAUGAGAUGUGAGCAACCACACUUCCCCUCUGACGGGGACAGACAGCAUCACAGGACAUGAAGUUCUAAGAGGUUCAGUGACUUGUCUAAGAUUAAACAGCUAUGAAUGGAGAACUGGAGGCAAAUGCCUCAUCAUCUCUCACCUGGGCAACUGCAACAAUGAGCAGUUUGUGUCUGUGCCUGCAUCCAUCCUUCCAUCCUGUACUCCAGCAGCAGCCAGGGUGGUCUUUCAAAAAUGCAAAGCUGAUAAUGUUACUCCCCUGCUGUAAACCUUCCAGCGGUUUCCUAUUGCCUUCAGAAUAAAAUACGAAUCAUCUGGCCUCCAUCUAUCUCUCCAGGCUCAUCCUCUCUCAAUUUUCCAUAUCCUUCAGGCUGAGCUCUGAAACUUCUCCUGGCAGUUCAAGAGAGCGAUGGAGGGAAUGCUGGGGCACAUCUAAAUAAAGCCUCCAAGUGGGAGUUCCUGCUCAGCUAUGCAUGAGCUCUUUGUGACUUCAUCUCCCAGCCUACAACUUGUGAAAUAAGCACGACUUCACUCAGAGCACAGCCAGAAACAUACAAACUUUCCAAAAAUAUUUGAAUGUUGACAGCAGACUGUCUUGCAUUCCAGUGAAUAAUUGGUUUGUAUGAGUGUGUGUG
rnacentral:lncRNA from 10 species